rnacentral:lncRNA from 1 species
AGCAACAUGUGAAAGGUUUAGAAUAGCUCAGACUAGCUUGCACGUUGCAGGACCUUUUCAAAAUAGCAUAGCCAUGCAUACUAUCAUAGCUUAAUGGCUUUAGUCUAAAUAGCUGUACACAGCUAAGCAUAAGCAUGCUUUCAAAAACAACCCAUUCGUUUCAAAGUAAACCAAAACAAAACAAAGUAUCAUUUCAAUACAAAAACAGCGUUAUCACAAAACAAAAGCAAACCUGUUCAAAUCUUCAAUAAAUCCGAAAAGAAGAAGAAGAAAGCGGUGUACGGUUGACGGCGGUUAGCGGUAGUUACCGGCAGAAAUGACGGUGAUUUCGAUUUUGCUCUCCUUUUCUAUUCUUUGUAUUUCUAAAUAUAUAUAAUUUUUUAGGAUGAAGUUGAGUUGUUGCUUCUUUUAUGCUUAACUAUUUUUGCUUCAGAAUCUCUCUUUUAAAAAAAGAAAUGUUUCUUCUCUUUUUUUCAAAAAAAACAAAUAAAACCCUCUUCUUUUUAUGUGUUUUUCUUUAGUAGAGUUAAUCUUCGAUCCUCCUUUAUAAACAAAAUGGGGAUGUAUUUAUAGAGUUUUUUUUUUUAUUUGUUUAGUUGCUUUCUUUGCCUGCCUUGGUCCUUCUCUAUCAAUUUCUUGUUUGACGUUUUGAUUUCUUUGCUCAUCAUCUGCAUUUUCUUGUACCUCUGAUGCCUUCAUGGUUUUAGCUUAUUUGUUCUGAUCUGUUCAUUGCUGAGCUUUUAUUUGUCUUUUAGUUUCUUUUUUUUGACUAAAAAUUUUGUCUCUUUGUUAACUAUAAUGUGUACAAUGGCUGAUUUUAAAAAAAUUAUGUUUUUAUGUUUCUCAAAUUAGUUAAAACAGGAACAUAUGUACCAAUAAGCAUGGCUUGUGCAUCAAUGGCAGUCAUCAUCAACAUAGCAGGGUUUGGCAGUGAACAAAGUCAACAUACCAUGGCUUGAUCUGAUUUUAUUUUUAUUGUAAUUUAUUUUUGGCUUAAUUCUUAGUUUGCAAUUUGAUUUGGUUUUAAAAACUCUAAUUAGAUGAAAUUGUAAAUUUAUGAUACAUAAUAAAAAUAUUUAUUGUAA